UCGCGCCUUGCCAGCCGCUCAGAAACUUAAGGAAUUGACGGGGCCGCACAAGCGUGGAGCAUGUGGUUUAAUUCGAAGCAACGCGAGAACCUUACCAGGCCUUGACAUGCAGAGAACUUUCCAGAGAUGGAUUGGUGCCUUCGGGAACUCUGACACAGGUGCUGCAUGGCUGUCGUCAGCUCGUGUCGUGAGGUGUUGGGUUAAGUCCCGUAACGAGCGCAACCCUUGCCUUAGUUACCAGCACGUUAUGGUGGGCACUCUAAGGAGACUGCCGGUGACAAACCGGAGGAAGGUGGGGAUGACGUCAAGUCAUCAUGGCCCUUACGGCCUGGGCUACACACGUGCUACAAUGGUCGGUACAAAGGGUUGCCAAGCCGCGAGGUGGAGCUAAUCCCAUAAAACCGAUCGUAGUCCGGAUCGCAGUCUGCAACUCGACUGCGUGAAGUCGGAAUCGCUAGUAAUCGUGAAUCAGAAUGUCACGGUGAAUACGUUCCCGGGCCUU
rnacentral:rRNA from 1 species